AUUUCCCAUGGGCAUAAAGUUCAAGAUGCUUUACUGGUUCCUUUCGAGACUGAACUACAGACACAGGACUACCAUCCAAACAAUUUGAAAACGGGGGUUGUUGAGCAAGGCGCGCAAGGCAGAAGCAACCGAAUAAACAAAAACAACACUCGCAAGAGUUAGCCACAGCAAAGAGGGGCCAGGUUCCUCGGGAUCCGACCCAGCUGCUCUGAUUUCACACCGACCUCCAUCAACAGCUAAACUGCACAGGGAGGAGGAUCGAACGGAUCCCUCCCGCCCUCCGCCCAAGGAGCCGACCCGGGGUAGCAAGACCCCCGCCCCCGCCAGGCUAGGACGAGCAGCCGCCACCGCUGCCACCGCCACCACCGCCGCCGCAGCGCCUCAGUGCGGCCCCGCCUCCGCCGCCCCACCACCUUCACCACCUCCACGCUCCGGUACCGCCCCUCCCGCCAAUCGGACAGCUCCGGCUACGCCCCCAGGGCGCUAGCCCGCAGCCAAUGAGCAACGAGAGCCCGACUGGGAGUCGCGCCGGCCAAUCGCAGGGGCCGAGGAAGCCUUGAAUCUCCGGGCAAGUUAAGUUUAUCUCCGAGGCUCGGAACUGAAGGGAGGUGGCGGUUAGCUAAGUAGUAGGGUAGCAGGGAACAGUUUGCUCUCCUCUGCCAAUAAGAGGACGAGGGUGUGUCAUAUGCAAAUAUACUGCCCUCCAAGCCCCACCCCCAAGAUAAGCUACGCCCCCUUCUCUAGGUCCCUGCAGAAGUGACCUUCCUGAGGCAGCUGUUCGGAUACAUGCAGAGCACAGCGCCCUGCUCAGAAAGGAAGGUUCAGAGAACAAAUUGUCGUUUAAAACUAUUGGGACAAACCUACCUCUUCUAAAGCUUAAAAUGGUCUCCAGCGUACCAGGAUUUGUGAAGGCCUGAAGUUCGUAGAAUGAAAUCUAUGUGGAGAUGAUUUAAAAGAACGGUUUCACUGAGACCAACACAUAUAAACCAAGUCUACACAAGAAACAAAGCUAAAAUCCUUUCGAAAUGAGUUCCUUUAAGUUCUUCAGUAACUAAAUCCUCCAGAAAGGAAAGCCGAGAGAAUCUAGUCCUAUACAAUAACACCCUCUAACAAAGAUCGCUAAAGGAAGAUUUUAGUAGAUGAAUAUCUUCAAUAAUACAUGGUCACAUACAUGUAUCUGACCAUAUGAUGGCUCUCUGCACCAAAUUCCUCCAAACUAUUAUAAUAUGUAUUGUCUGUAGUGCUAUUUAUUUGGCAGUUAAUCAUGUAUUACAUUGUGACAUUUCUUACAGUGAACCAUUAUGUAUGUGUUUAUGUUCUGCCCUCAACUACUCAAUGCCAGUACCUUAUUCUUAACACAGCAACCACCCUUUCUGGUCUGUCCUCACACCCUCAUUCCCAUCAUAGUUAUUCUCCUCUCUCAUGGAAAUGUUCAGUUUCUGGACAUCUCCUUUCUCUUCCAUUCUUCACCUGACCUUCCUUCCUUUCUUGGCCAGCCUGAAUAUUAUAAAGGGAAUUUUAUUUCAAACCCAGGAUCGCACUUAAGAGGAAAAGAAACAAAAGCCAGUUCUUUUUAUUGCACAUAGAACAAGGAGAAACUCCACCCCUUUUGUUGUCUGGUAUGUUUAAAACAAGAAAGAACUUUAGAAAAGUAGGAUAUGAGUGAAAAUUACAACCAAUGUUGAGAACUACUUUUUAAUUUUUUAUUACAAAAUUAGGAUGAUACUUCAUUAAACAUUGUACAUCAUUUCAAAACUGUUAUCUCAUAAUCAUGUUGCUUGUUUUGAAUUAUUCUUUUAAAGUGUAAUUUUUUUAAGCAAAGAAUCCAUAAAAUUACAUGGCUUGGAUGUACCAUAACUUACUUAAUCCUUAUGCUAUUGUUUAAUAUGUGGGUUGUUUCAGAUUUUUCAUGAUUGUAAAUAACAAAAUAAACUUCCUUAUACUUAA
rnacentral:lncRNA from 1 species